UACAGAGGGUGCGAGCGUUGUUCGGAAUUAUUGGGCGUAAAGGGCGCGUAGGCGGCGCCACAAGUCACUUGUGAAAACUCUGGGCUCAACUCAGAGCCUGCAAGCGAAACUGUGGUGCUGGAGUAUGGGAGAGGUGCGUGGAAUUCCAGGUGUAGCGGUGAAAUGCGUAGAGAUCCGGAGGAACACCGACGGCGCAGGCAGCGUCCUGGCCGCUUGCUGACACUGAGGCACGAAAGCUGGGGGAGCAAACAGG
rnacentral:rRNA from 1 species